AAGUGUUAUAGCUCUUUUAGAAUUUGUCUAGCAGGUUUUCUGGGACUCACCAGAAACCAUU
rnacentral:snRNA from 1 species